GACGGAGGGUGCAAGCGUUGUUCGGAAUUACUGGGCGUAAAGCGCGGGCAGGUGGCUCUUUAAGUCCUUGGUGAAACUCCGGAGCUCAACUCCGGACGUGCAUAGGAUACUGGAGGGCUAGAGACUGGUAGAGGCGAGCGGAAUUCCUGGUGUAGCGGUGGAAUGCGUAGAUAUCAGGAGGAACACCGGUGGCGAAGGCGGCUUGCUGGGCCAGUUCUGACGCUGAGGAGCGAAAGCGUGGGGAGCGAACAGG
rnacentral:rRNA from 1 species